UAAGGAAUAUUGGACAAUGGAGGCAACUCUGAUCCAGCCAUGCCGCGUGAAGGAAUAAGGCCCUAUGGGUUGUAAACUUCUUUUAGACGGGACAAAACCCCUUUACGUGUAAAGGGUUGAUGGUACUGUCAGAAUAAGCAUCGGCUAACUUCGUGCCAGCAGCCGCGGUAAUACGAAGGAUGCAAGCGUUAUCCGGAAUUAUUGGGUUUAAAGGGUGCGUAGGCGGACUAAUAAGUCAGUGGUGAAAGCCUGCAGCUUAACUGCAGAAUUGCCAUUGAUACUGUUAGUCUUGAGUACAGUUGAGGUAGGCGGAAUGUGUCAUGUAGCGGUGAAAUGCUUAGAUAUGACACGGAACACCGAUUGCGAAGGCAGCUUGCUAAGCUGUAACUGACGCUGAGGCACGAAAGCGUGGGGAGCAAACA
rnacentral:rRNA from 1 species